GAGCAGAGGUCACUGCCAUCUUCCCUGGGCAACUUCUACCCCAAAGGCAUCAAUGCCUCUCAGAAGGACAGAGAGCUUUGGGCAAGGUUUAUGCAGGUCAAAUUGGAAGCUCUGUGCUCAGUGUGGGGUCUGGGAUGCCACAUAUCAGCCAGGGCCAGAAGGAGUGGUGAGUGAGGGCUGGGGGGGUCUUUCUUACCCACCUGCUUCUAGAGAUAGCUGACAUACAUCCGCC
rnacentral:lncRNA from 1 species